GACGAACGCUGGCGGCAUGCCUAACACAUGCAAGUCGAACGGAGAUUAUUUCGGUAAUCUUAGUGGCGAACGGGUGAGUAACGCGUGGGCAACCUGCCCUCUAGAUGGGGACAACAUCCCGAAAGGGGUGCUAAUACCGAAUGUGACAGCAAUCUCGCAUGAGGAUGCUGUGAAAGAUGGCCUCUAUUUAUAAGCUAUCGCUAGAGGAUGGGCCUGCGUCUGAUUAGCUAGUUGGUGGGGUAACGGCCUACCAAGGCGAUGAUCAGUAGCCGGUCUGAGAGGAUGGACGGCCACAUUGGGACUGAGACACGGCCCAGACUCCUACGGGAGGCAGCAGUGGGGAAUCUUCCGCAAUGGGCGAAAGCCUGACGGAGCAAUGCCGCGUGAGUGAUGAAGGAAUUCGUUCCGUAAAGCUCUUUUGUUUAUGACGAAUGUGCAGAUUGUGAACAAUGAUCUGUAAUGACGGUAGUAAACGAAUAAGCCACGGCUAACUACGUG
rnacentral:rRNA from 1 species